GGCUCAGAACGAACGCUGGCGGCGUGCUUAACACAUGCAAGUCGAGCGAGAAAGGGGGGGCAACCCCCUGAGUAGAGCGGCGCACGGGUGAGUAACGCGUGGGUAACCUACCCCCAGGCGGGGGAUAACUACUCGAAAGGGUGGCUAAUACCGCAUGAGACCACGGGAUCUUCGGAUCCUGAGGCUAAAGAUCGCACCGGCUUGCCGGUGCUGUCACCAGGGGAUGGGCCCGCGUCCGAUUAGCUAGUUGGUGAGGUAAUGGCUCACCAAGGCUCCGAUCGGUAGCUGGUCUGAGAGGAUGAUCAGCCACACUGGAACUGAAACACGGUCCAGACUCCUACGGGAGGCAGCAGUGAGGAAUAUUGCGCAAUGGGGGAAACCCUGACGCAGCAACGCCGCGUGGGUGAAGAAGGCCUUCGGGUCGUAAAGCCCUUUCGGACGGGACGAACGCUCCGCGGUGACAAGCCGCGGAGUCUGACGGUACCGUAGGAAGAAGCACCGGCUAACUCCGUGCCAGCAGCCGCGGUAAUACGGAGGGUGCGAGCGUUGUUCGGAAUUACUGGGCGUAAAGCGCGUGUAGGCGGCCUUGCAAGUCAGGCGUGAAAGCCCUCGGCUUAACCGGGGAAGUGCGUCUGAAACUGCUUGGCUUGAGUACGGGAGAGGGAGGCGGAAUUCCCAGUGUAGAGGUGAAAUUCGUAGAUAUUGGGAGGAACACCGGUGGCGAAAGCGGCCUCCUGGACCGAUACUGACGCUGAGACGCGAAAGCGUGGGGAGCAAACAGGAUUAGAUACCCUGGUAGUCCACGCGGUAAACGAUGGGCACUAGGUGUGGGGGGUAUCCACUCCUCCCGUGCCGAAGCUAACGCAUUAAGUGCCCCGCCUGGG
rnacentral:rRNA from 1 species